ACGAACGCUGGCGGCGUGCUUAACACAUGCAAGUCGAACGAGAGGACAAGAGAAGCUUGCUUCUUUUAGAAUCGAGUGGCAAACGGGUGAGUAACACGUAAACAACCUGCCUUCAGGAUGGGGACAACAGACGGAAACGACUGCUAAUACCGAAUACGCUUGGAAGACCGCAUGAUCUUCCAAGGAAAGGGUGGCCUCUACCUGUAAGCUAUCGCCUGAAGAGGGGUUUGCGUCUGAUUAGGCAGUUGGCGAGGUAACGGCCCACCAAACCUACGAUCAGUAGCCGGUCUGAGAGGAUGAACGGCCACACUGGAACUGAGACACGGUCCAGACUCCUACGGGAGGCAGCAGUGGGGAAUCUUCCGCAAUGGGCGAAAGCCUGACGGAGCAACGCCGCGUGAGUGAUGACGGCCUUCGGGUUGUAAAGCUCUGUGAUCGGGGACGAACGGUCCGUAAGCUAAUACCUUAUGGAAGUGACGGUACCCGAAUAGCAAGCCACGGCUAACUACGUG
rnacentral:rRNA from 1 species